rnacentral:rRNA from 1 species
GCGUAUCCAACCUACCCUUGUCCAUCGGAUAACCCGUCGAAAGGCGGCCUAACACGAUAUGCGGUUCACAGCAGGCAUCUAACGUGAACGAAAUGUGAAGGAGAAGGAUGGGGAUGCGUCUGAUUAGCUUGUUGGCGGGGUAACGGCCCACCAAGGCUACGAUCAGUAGGGGUUCUGAGAGGAAGGUCCCCCACAUUGGAACUGAGACACGGUCCAAACUCCUACGGGAGGCAGCAGUGAGGAAUAUUGGUCAAUGGGCGAGAGCCUGAACCAGCCAAGUAGCGUGCAGGAUGACGGCCCUAUGGGUUGUAAACUGCUUUUAUAGGGGGAUAAAGUGUGCCACGUGUGGCAUAUUGCAGGUACCCUAUGAAUAAGGACCGGCUAAUUCCGUGCCAGUAGCCGCGGUAAUACGGAAGGUCCAGGCGUUAUCCGGAUUUAUUGGGUUUAAAGGGAGCGUAGGCCGUUUGGUAAGCGUGUUGUGAAAUGUCGGGGCUCAACCU